UUUACAAACAUACCUAUACAUACAUACAUGUAAUAGAUCAUAAUGAGAGAACAGUAAAAUCGACGCGAAGAUAACAAGUGACUGCAUUUGCGUAUGCUAUCUAACUUAUCCACUGCCAGUUAUUCCACACCGGAGUACACGGAUCGGCCGCUCGACUGCCAAACGCUGCGCGUUGGACUAACUAACUGUCAUUUUGCGGAAUUUCCUUUAUUAUCGCCAAUGUGUUUUAAUUUCUUUUAUUCUGUAGUCUCUUUAUUGUGUGUGUUUUAAUUGUGCAAAAAAAAAUAUUGAAACAAAAAAUGCUAGAGAAUCAAUGGGAACAACAUCCAGGUGUCUGAUAAGUGUCAUAGUGCUUGCGCCCUACRUACAUAUGUAUGUACUAUAUAUAAUUGCAGAUAAAAUGUAUUAAAGUAAACAACUGUGUACCUAUAAACUAAAUGUGCUAUGUGCCAGUUUUGAAGAAAUACGCGAUUGUUAUAAUUUGCUGUGAUGAUUAAGAAUGUUAAUUAAACGUUUAGCUAAUCAGAGUACGCCUUAUACAUUUUGACAAACAUAUUACACAUAUAUCCAUAUGAAUGUUUAUAUUGUGUGUUUGUAAAAAAUUUUAACACUUAAUAGCUCUCACCUUACGUCAAACAGAAAUUUUGGUGAACCUGUUAUAAUUUUAAUUACCGUUAAUGCAUACACUAACAGUCUGGUCGGCACUCUACAGUAGGCGCACGCGUUCCGCUUAUGAAGUAGAUUUCCAAAAAUUAUAAAGCUUUGGUGAAAGUUUGGGAAUGGGAAAGUGAAGUUAACCCUACAUACAUAUCCAUACAUAAAUGAAGUUUAAAGCUGAGUUUGAGGUUUAACCAAUUCUUUUGAAGAUUAUUUGGGGCAAAAAUAAAUUUUAAACAGUAAUUGAAGUCGCUGCUACCACAAAUCAUUAAUUAUUGUGUUUAAUACAAAAUAAAAAAAUUACAGUUAAAAAAAAACUGUCUAUCGAACUAAAUGAAAGGGUUUUAACAUUACAUUAGAAUAUGGAAUAAGCACAGUACUCACACGAUUAGAAUGUAUGUACAUAUGUAUGUACGUAUGUUAAGCCGCACACCUAUAUCUCUCACACAUACACACCAUCAUACAUACAUACAAACAUAUGUAGAUGCAGGCUAAAGACAAGUAAUUUUGAAAAAG